UUGAAGUCCGGGAUUUGGAGAAGCACCUGGUUCCUGAUGGAGGCCGUGGGCCUCUUGGUACCCGCUUACCAGGCAGCGGCGCCAGCCUAGUUCUCAGCCCCGCCCCAGAUGGGCGCUGCCUUCCAUCACGCCAAAGACUUUCCGAAACUGCCCUUCUUGGGCCUGGGAAGCAGAUCCUGGGCUUCCCUGGGGCCUGUGGCGCUGGCAGCAGCUCCACACUUGGUCCCGCGCUUGUGUCCUCCCAUGUUUUCAGUUAACCUGCGGACCCC
rnacentral:lncRNA from 1 species